CUGCUGAUUCAACUAUCAUUGAACCUCUUUAUUGAAGAAUGACAUUGCCGAGAUAGCACCAAGUCUCAGAAUCUGAAAACUUCAUACAAAGAUUUCUAAUUCAGCUAAUCAUCAAAAUCACCUGCAAAACUUUACAAAAAUUUAAAUCAUCAUGCCCAGAGAUUCUAUUCAACAAGGUUUGGAGCAAACCUGGAAACUGAAUUUUGAAAUGUUCCCAGAUAAUUCUGUUGAUCAGCCAAGUUUGGGAAUCUCCAGCUGAAAUGCCGAGGACUUAGUCCAUCUGCAGGCUCAUCUCAUGACCACAGCCUAGCCAAGAUGGGAAAACAAGCUUAAGGAAGGAUAAGUAACUUGUUCAAGUACUGGCUCCUGAGCUCAGAGAAGAUAAGGAGAGGAUCAUGCUGACGUGAGCACUGACCACAGAGGGAACGAGAUACCCAAGAAAUACCCUUUCCCUGUGGUGACAGGAUGGAAACUGCCA